CCGCACCCGCGGCAGACAAUCAUUACUCCCACUCAUCCUUCAGUUAACCUCUGAAAACCUGAGAAUGGAUUAUUGUCCUCCGGAUGAGGCCUUGACAAAGAGAGCUACUUAACAGCUUGAAGAACAAACCAUAUAAUUAAUUGCAGGGACAAAUCAAUGUUCUUUUCUUCAAUCCUGAACCUCUUCAGGAAAUGGAAAAAAACAUCCACCAGCCUCAAAAUCUUCGUACUUUAGACCUCGAAGUUCCUAACAAAUUGGACCGUUCGAUGAAAUAGUGACCUGCAUCAAUAUGAAUUUCAGGAGUUGGCAAACUUAUGUCCAAUGCCCCAACAAAAGGAAGUAUUUCAUCAAAUAUCUUGUGUAUUUUAGUAUUCAAGCAUCCCAACUCAGUGCUUGAGUUUCUCAAUAUCACUUGUUUGACUGUUGUUUUCAGUGAUUGGCUACAUUGG